AUUGUCUCUGCGGUUUCAGUGGUCCAGAGAACCGGAUCCCGUCCCGUUACCUGGAAUUGGCGUUGAUCCAUCUCAGGUUUUCCCAAGCUGCUGCAGCUGUUUCACUGUGGUCCUGGGUUUCUGUCUAUCCAGACAGUUCACCAUCCCCACUGACAGAAUCACAUGUUCUGUGUUUGGGUUCGGCGUCAGCUUCUCCAGUAUCCCCCUUAAAUGAUGGCAGUUUGCCCCUGGGAAACUGUCAACCUGGAUAUGUUCAUCCUUAAAAGUCGGAUGGAUAACGGGCUCCUCUCUGAGGAGGACCUUUGGCUGUGACUGGCUGAGAGCGUGACGGAGAUGUUCCAGAGGCCUCUAAAGUUUCCCUCAUCCCUACC